rnacentral:rRNA from 1 species
AGUGAACGCUGGCGGUAGGCCUAACACAUGCAAGUCGAACGGCAGCACAGGAGAGCUUGCUCUCUGGGUGGCGAGUGGCGGACGGGUGAGGAAUACAUCGGAAUCUACUCUGUCGUGGGGGAUAACGUAGGGAAACUUACGCUAAUACCGCAUACGACCUACGGGUGAAAGCAGGGGACCUUCGGGCCUUGCGCGAUUGAAUGAGCCGAUGUCGGAUUAGCUAGUUGGCGGGGUAAAGGCCCACCAAGGCGACGAUCCGUAGCUGGUCUGGGAAGGUGAUCAGCCACACUGGAACUGAGACACGGUCCAGACUCCUACGGGAGGCAGCAGUGGGGAAUAUUGGACAAUGGGCGCAAGCCUGAUCCAGCCAUACCGCGUGGGUGAAGAAGGCCUUCGGGUUGUAAAGCCCUUUUGUUGGGAAAGAAAUCCAGCUGGCUAAUACCCGGUUGGGAUGACGGUACCCAAAGAAUAAGCACCGGCUAACUUCGUGCCAGCCGCCGCAGUAA